UUCAAAGUUGUCACACUUAAUAGUUGCAUGCAAAAAUCACAAAUAACCAUACGAACAUCUUUCUAAAAUCAAAAAUCAAAAACUAGUGGCUGUUAGGAAAAACAAAAAAACAAAAAGGAAAAAGAAGAAAAAAAGUUGCCACUUCUCUUCUACAACAAUAAGAAUGAUUGCAUCGAUGCUCCUCAUCUUCAUGCCUAUUCUUCCUCGAUUGAUACUUUUUGCACCAAAGGGAUUGCUCGUUUACCAUAAAUUUAACUUCAUUUCUUCCAUUUAAAUUCAAAACUGUCAUGGUAGAUACCUUGAAAACCACCUUACAAAUGGAGUCCCAAUUUUACCCCCUCUCGAUCGCAAAACUAUUCUUUCCACACAGUCUCCAUAUUUCCUGUUCAUAUAUCAUCAUCAAAUUAAUGCAGAACAAAUAAACAGUAAGAGGUAGGAAAAAAGUGAAAAAAAAAAAAAAAAAAAAGCAAGAAUAAUAAUGUUUCACAAUUGAUGGAAGUUUUCAAAUGCUUACUCAGGACUAAAAAAUCCCUAAAAUUGGGGAAUGUUUGUCAAUAAAUCCGUGGGAGAUGCUAAAAUGGGAGGUCUUCUCUUCUUCCAUUGGAGAUAUGAAAAACAAUGUCCUCUCUUCACCCAUGCCUUGCUAGACUAAAAGGAGAUAAAGUUUGAGCCACCAUUUCAUCAAAAGUAAUGUCGAAAGAAAUGUGAUGGUUUGUGUGGAUGGUGAUGAUUAGAGAAGAUUUGCUCCUUUUUUUAUAGAAGAAAAGUUGUACUUUAAGUGAGAG
rnacentral:lncRNA from 1 species